rnacentral:lncRNA from 1 species
UUUGAGCGAAAAUAAAACAUCGGGUAAUUUUAAACAUAGCCCCCAAUUUUCUCAUUAUAGCCUCUUGUUUAAUAAAAUAAUAAAAAUAAUUAUGAUUGUACUAAUAUACCCUCAUAGCCCCAUUUAAAAAUUUAUAAUAAAUAAAUAGGUUUUUAAAAUUAAAUUUCAAAGAACACUGCGUACAACCUCAAAUUUUUUAUAACCCCGUCUCAUAUAUUUCUAAAACUUUACGAACAUAAUGAUGGAGAAGAAGACAAAUACUUUUUCUUCGUCCAGAGAGAGAGCCGCUGCGCCACCGCAUUGCUGCCGGCGAGAGACAGUUGGGCUCUAGCUGCCUGCAUUGUCGGAGGAAAUAGUCGAUCUUACCCUUCCGGGCUGUGUUCUACUUGCCGUUUCAGGGGUUUUCCUCUUUUGUCGCUAUGGGUUCUUGAAAAGAUUGAGGAGAGUAAGCAGUCGGAGAAGGGAGAUACCACCGCCGCCGCCGCCACCGUCGUCAACGAGAGGGAAUACAGAUCGAGGGACGGCGGCGAUGACAUCAUCAUUAUGGGUGCUGGAGUGGCGUCGCCCUCGCUUAGGAAUUUGUAGUUGACAUAAGAGUUGGGUAAAGUGUGUAGUGUGUGUUUCUUCUUUGAGUGGAUAUAGUUGGCACCUUUUACAGGUGUUAGUUUGAUUUGAAUUAGGAGUUUGCAGUUUAUGAGAUUUGGUGUUUUCAGUCCAGAUUGUGUGAAUGAAAUCGACGCUCAAAGGGUAUUCGGGUAUGCUCUGUUCAAGAAUUAAUCAAGGAGGCUGGACUUUUGAGUUGCAAGGUGUGGAAAUUGUCUCCCUGUUCACAGUUUUAACUGUCUGGUAUAUGAGAGUAGUUGACUUUUAAUGUAUUAGAGAUUUACGUAUGUGGCUAAUAUUACCAAUUUACCACCUAUCUAAACUCUUUCAUCAUCUAUUCUUGUUUUGAAUCUUUCUGGAAUGAAGAACAGGAUGAAAAAAUAUAUAACUUCGUAAAUAGAUGUUCGGUGGAAAGCUUUCUAUCAAAAUAUUGGACGAAUGUUAGAGGAUGGUAAGGAUCCCAUUGCAGAAGGGCAGAUGAAGAAACCAAGUGCUCGUAUCCAAAGUUAUCAUCUUUUUUCAAGAAAAUCACUAUAUACCUUGGGUACACAUGAUGUAUUUAUAGAUUCUUACCUCUUUUUUUUUUUUUUACUUUGUGAAUCUUGUGAAGCUCAAUUAGAAGUUGUGAAUGCUUUUGUGUUGUUGAGUUGAUUUGUUCAAAUAAUCUGUUGUUCCUCUUUUAAUACAGACAGAAGACUUGAUAUAUUCAAAUCCUUCUGCAAGAUAAUUUGUGGAAGUGUCUGUACCAAAGGAAAAAUCUGCUCAUAAAAUGAUAUAAAAUCAUAUGCAGUGUUCAGUUCCUGUGUGUCAUGACAAAAGUUGCAAAACAGGAUACCAAACAUUAAGAGAUCUCCACAUGCUUAUAAAAUAGUUCAAUAUCAACUGAAUUGUGCAGAAAGGAUUUCCCAUAAUCAGUUAGAUUAUAUCUUAGCAAGUUAGCAAUGUAAUGGAGCUUGUUUAUCUAUAAUUCUUUGGUCAUAUUCACGCACUUAAGUCAAAGCCACUAAUGGAAUCAAAUUAAAAUGUUUGCUUGUUUUGGGCACAUUCCCAAUGAGGCAAAUUAAAAAUAUGAAAAGUAAGGGGGAAGAAAGAGAUUCAAUCUUCCAAAAUUCCACAAAAUAAAUUGAAGCAUUCACACAAACUUGGAGAAUAAAUUAACAAUCAAAUCGAAGAGACCAAAUUCGUUGAGUACGCAUAAAUCGGACGAAAGCAGAUUCAGAUCCAUAGAAAUGUGAAUACCCAAACCUAAUCAUCGUCCCUAAUUUCUCAGGUUUAAGCUACACAUAGCUGAAAUCACCGCAGUCUCCAUUGUGUUAACGGAAAUAAAAGCAAAUUGUGAUCACGAGCUCAGAGAAGACAGGAAAUAACAGCUGCUUUCACAAUAGCGAGCGGAAGCAUGCCCUGCUUUGUAUGCACACCUUUAAAUAUGUGGUUCUCUCUCUAGAUAACAAUAUUUCUAAUGGAAUCAAAUUAAAAUGUUUGCUUGUUUUGGGCACAUUCCUAAUGAAUGCAACGAAAAUUAUCGUCAAACCACAAUAUAAACUUCAUUAUUUUGACAGUCUUCUUCGAAGACUUCUUCGUGUGUCUUCUGCAACCUGCGUCUCACGUUCUUUAAGUUUUGUUGGGGGCUAUACUAAUGAAAAUAUUAGGGCUGUUUAUCAGUAUUUUUAAUAUUAGAUCAGAGGGCUAUAUAAUUUUAUCUGUGAAAAAUUGUAGGUAAAUAUGUUUUCAACGCAAUCUUAAUAACUUAUAAUUUAUUGCAAAUUUUAAAUGGGGGCUAUAGGGAUAAAAUGGUACAAUCAUAAUUAUUUUUAUUAUUUUUUUAAAUAAGGGGUUAUAGUGAGAAAAUUGGGGGCUAUGUUUAAAAUUACCCUAAAACAUCGCAUUUAUAAUUUUGCUUAGAACCGGCCCAGCCAAAUUGGUUGGGUUAGGCCUUUUAAGCUAAUAAAAAUGUCAAGAACUAAUCCACUCUAUUCUCUACAAAAAUAAUGUAAACUCGACUAUGCAAGAACAACAAGCAGCCUUACAAGUAGUUGCUACCGCAUUUAUAGUACAUUUAUAAAUUUAUUAUGAGAAAAUUAGGAAUAACAAAAAAUUCUCCCUUUAAAUGCCUCCUCUUUUUUUUCAUUUCCUACAAAAAAUUAGGGAUUUUUUUUUUUUGUUAUCCCUCAUUUCCCUAUGAUAAAUUUAUCUAACCAAAGAAA